rnacentral:rRNA from 1 species
GUUAUGUUCUUUAAAUUUAAAAAAUUUGGCGGUGUUUUARUCUAGUUAGAGGAACCUGUGUUAUAAACGAUACAACACGUAUUAUUUUACUUAUUUUAGUAGAUCAGCUUGUAUACCGUCAUUAUAAGAUAAUUUAGGAGAGAAUAUUAUUGAGAUCAUAUUAUUGAGUAUAUUAGAUCAAGGUGCAGCUUAUGGGUAAGCAAACAUGGGUUACAAUAAAAUUUAUUUAAUAUGAAUUAAGUGUUUAAAUAUAUUUAUGAAUGGAGGAUUUAAUUGUAAGGGGGGAGCAGUGAGCUUUU